rnacentral:rRNA from 1 species
AGCAGCCGCGGUAAUUCCAGCUCCAAUAGCGUAUAUUAAAGUUGCUGCAGUUAAAAAGCUCGUAGUUGAAUUUCGGGACUAAUAUGUCGGUCGUGCCUCGGUACGUACUGGUAUUUUUGGUUUCUCCCUUCUGACGAACCUUGAUGUCAUUAAUUUGGUGUCUUGGGAAAUCAGGACUGUUACUUUGAAAAAAUUAGAGUGUCUAAAGCAGGCUCACGCUUGAAUACAUUAGCAUGGAAUAAUGAAAUAGGACGUUUGAUUCUAUUUUGUUGGUUUCUAGGAUCGACGUAAUGAUUAAUAGGGAUAGUUGGGGGCAUUAGUAUUCAAUUGUCAGAGGUGAAAUUCUUGGAUUUAUUGAAGACUAACUACUGCGAAAGCAUUUUGCCAAGGAUGUUUUCAUUAAUCAAGAACGAAAGUUAGGGGAUCGAAGACGAUCAGAUACCGUCGUAGUCUUAACCAUAAACUAUGCCGACUAGGGAUCGGAUGAUGUUAAUUUUUUAAUGACUCAUUCGGCGCCUUA